rnacentral:rRNA from 1 species
CCUACGGGCGGCAGCAGUGGGGAAUAUUGGACAAUGGGCGAAAGCCUGAUCCAGCCAUGCCGCGUGUGUGAAGAAGUCCUUCGGGUUGUAAAGCACUUUCAGUGGGGAAGAAAGCCUUGGGGCUAAUACCCUCGAGGAAGGACAUCACCCACAGAAGAAGCACCGGCUAACUCCGUGCCAGCAGCCGCGGUAAUACGGAGGGUGCGAGCGUUAAUCGGAAUUACUGGGCGUAAAGCGCGCGUAGGCGGUCUGAUAAGCCGGUUGUGAAAGCCCCGGGCUCAACCUGGGAACGGCAUCCGGAACUGUCAGGCUAGAGUGCAGGAGAGGCAGGUAGAAUUCCCGGUGUAGCGGUGAAAUGCGUAGAGAUCGGGACGAAUACCAGUGGCGAAGGCGGCCUUCUGGACUGACACUGGCGCUGAGGUGCGACAGCGUGAGUAGCAAACAGGAUUAGAUACCCCGGUAGUC